rnacentral:lncRNA from 1 species
UACCACGAGGAGUGGGUAAGAAACAAUGCCCGAGCUAAUGAGAGAAAUAGGCGCAAUGAUAGACCUCGCAACAAUGAUAGAUCAAGGAACUUUGAAAGAAGAGGUAAUAAUAUGCAGCAGCAGAGAGGCGGCCCCCCUGGCGGCAUGGGAGGCGGCCCCCCUGGCGGCAUGGGAGGCGGCCCCCCUGGGACCAUGGGAGGCGGCCCUCCUGGCAACAUGGGAGGAGGCCCCCCCGGCAACAUGGGAGGAGGCCCCCCCGGCAACAUGGGAGGCGGCCCUCCGGGAAACAUGGGAGGCGGCCCCCCUGGUAACAUGGGAGGCGGCCCUCCUGGCAACGUGAGAGGCGGGCCCCCUGGCGGCAUGGGAGGCGGCCCUUAUGGCAACAUGGGAGGCGGCCCACCUGGCAACUUGGGGCAGAUGCAGAAUAAUAUGGGACAGAUGCAACACGGCAACAUGGGACCAAUGGGAGGUCCAUCACAAAACAUGGGAGGAGCGCAACACAGGC